GUGCAAGGAUGUUAAUAGCGUUCUUGCUUGACUAAGGCUCCGGAGGAAGCCACGGCUAACUCUGUGCCAGCAGCCGCGGUAAUACAGAGGCGGCAAGCGUUGUUCGGAAUUAUUGGGCGUAAAGAGCACGUAGGCGGCUGUGUAAGUCGGUUGUGAAAGCCUUCCGCUUAACGGAAGAACGGCAUCCGAUACUGCAUAGCUUGAGUGCGGGAGGGGAGAGUGGAACUUCUGGUGGAGCGGUGAAAUGCGUAGAUAUCAGAAGGAACACCGGCGGCGAAGGCGACUCUCUGGUCCGUAACUGACGCUGAGUGUGCGAAAGCUAGGGGAGCAAACGGGAUUAGAUACCCCGGUAGUCCUAGCCGUAAACGAUGGGCACUAAGUAGAGGGA
rnacentral:rRNA from 1 species